AGUGAACGCUGGCGGCGUGCUUAACACAUGCAAGUCGAACGAGAACGGAUUAUAGCUUGCUAUAAUUGUCAGCUAAGUGGCGCACGGGUGAGUAACGUAUAGGUAAUAUGCCUCUUACUAAGGGAUAACAAAUGGAAACGUUUGCUAAUACCUUAUACUCCUUAUUAACAUAAGUUAAUAAGGGAAAGAUUUAUUGGUAAGAGAUUAGCCUGUAUUGUAUCAGUUAGUUGGUGGGGUAAUGGCUUACCAAGACUAUGACACAUAACUGGUUUGAGAGGAUGGUCAGUCACACUGGAACUGAGACACUGUCCAGACUCCUACGGGAGGCAGCAGUGGGGAAUAUUGCACAAUGGACGAAAGUCUGAUGCAGCAACGCCGCGUGGAGGAUGACACAUUUCGGUGCGUAAACUCCUUUUAUAUGAGAAGAUAAUGACGGUAUUAUAUGAAUAAGCACCGGCUAACUCCGUGCCAGCAGCCGCCGUAA
rnacentral:rRNA from 1 species